CGCUUCCCGUCUGUGGAAGCUUUGUUCUUUCGCUCUUGACAAUAAAUCUUAAUGCUGCUCUCUCUUUGGGUCCAUGCCAUCUUUAAGAGCUGUGACACUUACAGCCAAGGUCCGGGGCUCCAUUCUUGAAGUCAGCGAGACCACGAAUCCACCGGAAGGAGCAAACUCUGGACAUGGCAUGUGCUUUUGCAGGAAGGACGCUGGACUCUUGCACUAUAAGUUGAAAACAUCGCUUAUAAACAAUACAUCACAGCACACUUGCAGAGAGAGCACUGGUUCAUCAAAAUAAGAUAUGAUCAAGGUACAAAAGAGUUAAAGAAGCUAUUUAUUUUAAUGUUUCCUUGGAGAGCACACUUGUUAUUAUGCCUGCCCCAGCUUUGCCUUCCACCAUGAGUAAAAGCUUCCCAAGUCCUCCCCAGAAGCAGAUGCUGGCGCUAUGCUUCUGGUACAGCCUGAAAAACCUUGAGCCAAUUAAACCUCAGUGAGCUCAAGAUGUCUUUGUUGAAACAGAACCUCCCGAAGUUACAGUAUUGGUUUUGGGGCUCCACACAGAGAACACAUCACGGAAGCUAUAAUUGAGGAAGACAAAGCUGUCAGGACGACACCAAGAGAGUUAGAAAGCCCAAGAGUGGAGCAUUCUUCACCAUGAUUCCACCUGACACUUGGCUGAAAGCAUUUUGCACUAAUUUGCUUUGUGCCCGUUCAGACAAUCUAAAAAGAAAGGAUGGGGGGACAACAAGUGUCUAUUACACAGAAUAAACAGCCUCUGGCAAAUGAAUACAUUUUACACACUUGUGCUUUUGGAGGGAUGGGGUAGUGAUGAGGGGAAGGGGAAUGGAGGAGGAGAAGUCAAGGAUUAGA
rnacentral:lncRNA from 1 species